CAGCAGCCGCGGUAAUACGAAGGGUGCAAGCGUUACUCGGAAUUACUGGGCGUAAAGCGUGCGUAGGUGGUGGUUUAAGUCCGUUGUGAAGGCCCUGGGCUCAACCUGGGAAUUGCAGUGGAUACUGGGUCACUAGAGUGUGGUAGAGGAUAGUGGAAUUUCCGGUGUAGCAGUGAAAUGCGUAGAGAUCGGAAGGAACAUCUGUGGCGAAGGCGACUAUCUGGGCCAACACUGACACUGAGGCACGAAAGCGUGGGGAGCAAACAGGAUUAGAUACCCCAGUAGUCCCUGUCUCUUAUAC
rnacentral:rRNA from 1 species